rnacentral:lncRNA from 10 species
AUUUAAUUUCCCAUCUGAUCAGAUCUCUAGGUUGUUUCUAAUCUUUUCCUCUUAGAAUCAGUUCUGCAUCUAUCUGGGUUGAGAAUUUCCUCAUUUCAAACGCCUGAGUCAUGGGGUUCUGUUUUCUUCUGCCUCUAGCAUUUGGCUUUGAUCUGCCCGCUUCUGCCCUCCACACAUUCUAUUCUGGCUCUUUCCCCUCCCAUCUAGGCCCCACCCAUUCUCCUCUCAGAGCCCCAGGCCUCCAGGUUCCGCUCCCCUCCACCCUCCCCUCUGCAGCCAGAGGAUCUUGAAACAGCGGGCAUCUGAGAUUAUUUGUCUGAGCUGGUUUCCUCUCCUAGCCCAAAGUGGGGCGAGUGCAGGGACAGGGCUUGUCUGCCUUCCCUAGGCCUGUGUGCCCGUGCCUCACACUGCCAUGAGAUGAGGAAGACACAGUCAUUAAACGGGAUGAAAGUGUACCUGUCUCAACAACUGGCUUCCUGCUCACAGGUCGAGAGCGAUCUUGGCUGUUGAAAAUAUGUGGAUCGGCAGCGCACACCUGCCGAUUCUGGCUGAUCUCGGAAUACGCUCAUGCAUCGGGGCCCCACACAGGAUCUCCAGACUCAGUGGGCACCUUUGGCCAGACAGUGGCUGUGCAGGUACGUCUGUGUACUCGGGAUUUGGCAUAAGGCUGGACGCACAAGGGAGAGAUUGUGGCCGGCCCUCUCACCUCGCCCCAUUUGGAACUCAUGAUGCGGAAGUUGUCACUUAGGAGGUUCAGGACCUCAGGAACUCCGGGUCCCCGUAGCCAUAGCGGUUCCCGAAGACAAGAACAGUGGCCCCGUCUUGGCAGUGCAAGGGACUCUCCCACACCAGGCCCUUCCGCUCUCCCGGCCAGGCCGAAGCAAUGGUGGCUUGAAAUUCGUCUAGCAGACAAGCCGCCUCAUCCAGGACACGCGCCUCGAUGGUCCGCGUAUCCAACCCGAACUUCUUCGGCGCUCCAAGUGCAAAAUUGCGCAGUGUCCACCAGCACGGCCGGUUAGAAAACAAGAUUCCUGUGGUGGGGACGGGAAAGGAGGCGGGCCCGGGAACCGGCCACGCCCCAUCCAGGAAGCGCCGGGUCACUGGCUACAUCCCUUUCGGGGCCUCCGACUCCUGCGGCCGGCUUCGUUCGUUUUGCUGCCUUACCAGACCUCCAAGUGCCCUAUCCACACAUUGGCCCCGCCUUUGCUGGGCUCCAUCCCUGACCUAGGCUGGCUCUGGGACUUUGAAUCUUAGGCUCUUUUCUCCUGUUGGCUGCAGGAUGAACCUCCAUUCUAACCUUACGCUUUAGCGCCGCCCCGCCCUCUCUCGGCCGUUUGCACCUCAUUAGCUGGAGUCUCUAUUAGGCCCCGCCCCCAUUUGCCCGCCUCUACCAUUUACCCGCCCAGCCUGGAGCGUCCGGACCGGCAAGUCCAGCGCCGGGGCCUCACUGUUUCCGCGUGUGAAGCGUUCGAAGACUGCCAUGGACCCGCGGCCGGAGACCGCAUCCGCCUGUAGCACUAACGCGUCCCGCAGCGCUGCGUAGCCGCACAGCACCACCGCAGGGCGCGGGCCCAGCCGCACUGUGAACACCCGGCCCCAGCGGCCGGAGAGCUACGGGUAGCCGGUGCUCAGCGGGUGCCCAUAGGGUUCCUCAUCGGAGCCAUUGCCCCCAGCUCCCUCUUCCUUCAGACCCAGGAGUCCUCGUCUCAGACCCUCAUUCCUCAGGUCCAGGAAUUCAGAUCCCCAGCUCCUUCCUCCCUGAGAUGCGGGAGUCCAGGCCCCCACUUCCUUCUUCCCUUGGGACCUAGAAGUCCAGAUUCCCAACCUCCUGUACCCUCAGAGUGUCUCCUGGGCCCUCAGUACCUCCCCACCCUGAACCAGGAGAACAGACCCCCUGCUCCCCUCUUCCCACAACCUGAUUUCCUGCUCUGGGCUCCUUCCUUACGACCCAGUGUCCCGGCCCCAGGCUCUCCACUCCCUAUUCUCCUUUCCUAGUACUCAGCAGUCCGGAGCACUCAUCCUUCCUGUCCUUCCUCAAGAUCAUAGAGUACAAGCCCUCAGCUGUCUUCGUUCAGGAGGAGUUCUAGUCCCCAGCCCCACCUCCACGAAUCCAGAAUUCCGUUCCCCCAUUCCUGUCGGGAAUGGAGCGCGCGGUCCAGGCCUCCGGACUGCAGCUGCAAGUUCCCCAGCAAUGGGAGCAGCCUGGGCCGGGGAGGUAGGGACCCCCGCAUCUGAGCGCGGCACCCACCCUACCCCCACCACGCCGGCACCAGCACCAGAAGCCACAACAGCAGCGCAGCGAUACCCGCGAUCAUCAUGCCUGCAAUUCUCCACGCCUGCACCUCUAUUUGAUUUCCAAGGGGUCUUGGGUGGAGCAGGGGCAGAGACCCGAUGUGGGAGGAGUGGGCAUCUCAGGGCUGCUCAUUCCAUGGAUUCCCCAGCCCGACGUCUCCAGCCCACCCCCAGCCCUGGUGGAACUGUGCCCUGGCUCCUCCUGGCUUUUUUUUUUGUGCCUGCCUCAGCCUGCCCCACUUAACAUCUUUCGUACACCAGCAUUUUCAUGUCAACACACCUGGCCAACAGGUGCACCCUCCUGAGCCCCUAGCACCUUUGAGUCCAAUUUAUUUGGCCUGUAGGUGUGUAUUCCUCAAUCUCCGGGCCAUCUCUGGGCCCCCUGAACGCUGUACCCUGUACCUCUGAUUCCUAAAUACACACCGACUCUCAAAUACACUUCUUCUUCUUCUUCUUCCUUCUUCUUCUCCUUCUUCUCCUUCUUUUUUUUUUCAGAGUUUCGCUCUUGUCGCCCAGGCUGGAGUGCAGUGGUGCGAUCUCGGCUCACUGCAACCUCCGCCUACCAGGUUCAAGAUUCUCCUGCCUCAGCCUCCCA